UUGUUUUUUAUUCGAGUUGCCCUUCGUCUUCAUCUUCAAAUUGUUAAGAGGCGCAGCGCAAGCUGUUCUUUGUUCAAUCUCUCUUAUGACUCUGAAUCUCUGAAUUUUCAUUCCAAUUCCAAUAUCCAAACGUUUAUUUCGUAGUAAUAUUAUCAGAUUUGUUCUUCGGCUCAUUCAGGAAUUAUGUCUUUUGGAAGGAAUCUGCAAGCACAAGGAUAUCAACAUGGUGGUCAUUGUCCCACCUUUGAUGGAAACAACAACAAUGGCAACCGGAAGCGAAGCAGGAUCAACUAUCAUCAUGGGAAUUAUGAUAUUCGUAAUCACUACUGGGCAGAACAUGAUUUCUAUGCUAAUGUUCACAAUUUUGAUUACGGCAACUAUGUUCAGCACGAUGCUGUGCCUUCAUCUUUGAAAAGGAGAAAACAUUCAACUCCUAGUUGGGAAAACAACCAGAAACACUAUCUUCCAUCCACUGUCCACAGCAAUAUCCCCACUACCUCCGUUAACUUUCAAGAACCUCCUUCAAGAUCCAAUGUUGAUGCCUCGAUAUCACCGGUAUGCAAGCUUGAUUGUUCUAUAUUUGAAGAUAAAGAGCCGGUGUUUAUGUCAAGGGAUGAGAUUGAUAAAUGUUCUCCAUCAAGAAAAGAUGGUAUUGAUGUACUUCACGAGACACACUUGCGCUACUCCUACUGUGCCUUCAUUCAAAAUCUCGGGAUGUGGCUUAACUUGCCUCAAACUACCAUCGGGACAGCCAUGGUUCUGUGCCACCGUUUUUUUGUUCGAAGAUCUCAUGCUUGCCAUGACAGAUUUUUAAUUUCUACUGCUGCCCUUUUUCUUGCUGGAAAGUCAGAGGAUACACCAUGCCCUUUGAAUAGUGUCUUGCGAGCAUCCAGUGAAAUCUUAUAUAAAAAGGAUUUUACUUUGCUGUGUUAUCUGCUUCCUCUUGAUUGGUUUGAAAAGUAUCAUGAUCGGGUGCUUGAGGCUGAGCUGUUGCUGCUUACUACUCUAAAUUUUGAACUCAAUGUGCAGCAUCCAUAUGCACCUCUUACAUCUAUCCUUGACAAAUUAGGCCCAUCAAAGACUAUUUUGGUGAAUCUGGCAUUGAACUUGAUCAGCAAAGGUGGUAGAGGAUUUAGUGAGUUAAUCAGUAGUGCAGAAUAGGAUGCAUUCAUCACAAGCAUUCUGAUUCCCAUAUUAGCAAGGCUGUCCCGAUCCAAAUGUAGAGCAGAAGAUGUUGCAUUGGCAUUAGCUUUGAAAGAUUCAAUUGUUUGCAACGUGCAGCACCCUGUGUAUGCAUUCUGAUUUUAAUUACAUAGAUUUCUGGAGUUUAAAGCCCCUACAGCAUGUUUGGCCUGGAAAUCUGAAUAAUUCUCUAAAUGAGUAUAAGAUAAUGCUAUAGUUUGGUACUCUAUCAGCAAUUGUGCAGAGAUUCUUGGAAUAAUAUUCUUCGUGAGUUGCUGCCUUGUUGGUAAGGAAAAUCUUCAGAGCUCUCUAUGGCUUCAGUAUAAACCCUACCAUAUUGCUGCUGGAGCUGCGUAUCUUGCUUCAAAGUUUCUGAAAAUUGAUCUUACUGCUAAUCACAAUAUC